rnacentral:lncRNA from 1 species
AAUGUUUGUACCUGCCCUAAGUCACGAAUCUGAUGUACAGUAGUUGUCGUUUGUUUAUGUAAUAUAUACGUGUUUCUCGUUUCUCCUUUUGUUAUAUAGAUAAGACCGUUGGUUUUCCUGUUUGAAUGGUUUUACACUAGUAAUUUUGGGGCCCUUUAUAGCUUGUUGUUCGGUGUGAGCCAAGGCUCCGUGUUGAAGGCCGCACAUUGACCUAUAAUGGUUUACUGUUUUUUUUUUUAAAUUGUUAUUUGGAUGGAGCGUUGUCUCAUUGGCACUCACACCACAUCUUCCUAUAUCUA